rnacentral:rRNA from 1 species
CCUACGGGAGGCAGCAGUGAGGCAUAUUGGUCAAUGGACGCAAGUCUGAACCAGCCAUGCCGCGUGCAGGAAGACGGCUCUAUGAGUUGUAAACUGCUUUUGUACGAGGGUAAACGCAGAUACGCGUAUCUGUCUGAAAGUAGCGUACGAAUAAGGAUCGGCUAACUCCGUGCCAGCAGCCGCGGUAAUACGGAGGAUUCAAGCGGUAUCCGGAUUUAUUGGGUUGAAGGGGUGCGUAGGCGGUCGGAUAAGUUAGAGGGGAAAUCCCGAGGCUCAACUUGGGCAUUGCCUCUGAUACUGUUCGCCUAGAGCGUCGUUGCGGUAGGCGGAAUGUCUUGUGUAGCGGUGACAUGCUU